rnacentral:rRNA from 1 species
GCUUACGGCCAUACCACCCUGAGCACGCCCGAUCUCAUCUGAUCUCGGAAGCUAAGCAGUGUCGGGCCUGGUUAGAAAUUGGAUGGGAGACCGCCUGGGAAUACCAGGUGCUGUAAGCU